UAUACAUUGACCAUUUUCUGUUGAAACAAGCUGACAAUAACAGAAGCUCAAUAAACUUUGGUCAUGGUCAUCCAAAAUCUCCAGAACAAUACAAGAGCCUCCACAAUCGUGUUGUGUAUUCCAAGGACAUUGUGCAGAAAACAUAUUUUGCAGUCUUGCAAGAUGAGGUAAACCCCACCAUAAUGGAAAGAGGGGAAGGAAGGCAUUUCUCUUCACUCAAGAAAAUUUCUCAUAUAUCCAGAAAUUGCUUAGAGGGGAACAGAACUCCUGGUCGCAUCUAGGAACUUUCUCCACUCUUCUCAUUGUCCGGAUCAUAAGGCACCUCAUGCCGAGGCUUGUUGUACUUCUCUCGCAGCUGCUUGAUUGGUAUGAAAUCUCCGGCAGCAUCCAUCCCAAAAAAUAAGAAUGAGGUGUAGGGAUGAUCAAAUCGAUCCUUAUCUGGUUCGCUAGGCGCCACUAGACUUUCCUCAGGUACAUAUGCCACUAACAGAUUGGGAUCUGUAUGUACAUCCACCAGCACCUGAUAAAAGGGCUGAUCAGGACCACGAGUCAACUUUUCUACUUGAGCAUUUUCCAUCCAUGAAUUCGAUUCACAACAUAUUGG
rnacentral:misc_RNA from 1 species